rnacentral:rRNA from 1 species
CAAUGUGGCCAAAACUCUUUGUCAAAGCUUGAUCUCAUCAGAUCUCAGAACCUAAGCAGGGUGGGGCCUAGUUAGUACUUGGAAGGGAGACAGCUGGAAAUUCCAGGUGCCGCAGUUG